GAAUGUGAGGGCAACCCACAUCUGUCACCCCACUGACCUCCAGAGCUGAAUGGCUGACCUUGCUGGCUAUGGGAUGUCACUUUCCUCUCUCACUGCUUACAUGUGUCUCCCCAGAAGCUGUGUGUUCAGUCAUACCUUCCCCAGUAGAGAACCAUCUUUUGAUCAAGUUACACAGGCAACUGCUCCCCUUCUAAAACCUCCAAACAAGCUCUUAAGAAUCUGACAACUCACCAGUGAAAAGUCCACCUUGGUGAUGGGUGGGGAACAGUGAAAGGGAACUGAGCACUGUGCCUGUGCUUUAGGCAGAUGAGAGUCUAG
rnacentral:snRNA from 1 species